AAAUAACAACACUGGAAAUUUUAUUUCUAGUGACUGGAAUGAUGGGAAUUUAAACCCCUUUCAGAGUAACAAUUGGAGGGCAAGUCUGGUGCCAGCAGCCGCGGUAAUUCCAGCUCCAAUAGCGUAUAUUAAAGUCGUUGCAGUUAAAAAGCUCGUAGUUGGAUGUCUGCUGGAAGCAAUCAGUCCGCCCUAUUUGUAGGGUGUGCACUUGAUGAAUUCUGGCAUUUUUGUCCCAAUGAUGUAACGGGGCGGUGGUACUCGGUGAAAGCCGAGUAUCCUGCUCUCCGAUUAUUGGGAUACUGUUACUUUGAGAAAAUUAGAGUGUUUGAAGCAGGCUAAUUGCCUUGAAUACUGCAGCAUGGAAUAACAAUAUAGGAUUUCGGUUCUAUUUUGUUGGUUUCUAGGACUGAAAUAAUGAUUAAUAGGGACAGUUGGGGGCAUUCGUAUUUA
rnacentral:rRNA from 1 species